rnacentral:rRNA from 1 species
GACGGGGGAUGCAAGCGUUAUCCGGAAUCACUGGGCGUAAAGCGUCUGUAGGUGGUGAUGCAAGUCACUGGUGCAAAACUCUGGCUCAACCGGAGGAAAGCCAGUGAAACUGCAUGACUAGAGUGUGGGAGAGGUAGAAGGAAUUCCCUGAGUAGCGGUGAAAUGCGUAGAUACAGGGAAGAACACCGGAGGCGAAAGCGUACUACUGGAACACAAAUGACACUGAGCGACGAAAGCUAGGGGAGCGAAUGGG